UUGUUUUUAGUCGCUGAGUGUUCCAGCAGGGGUCGGUGCUGCUGCAGUGGAGCAGGAGCUGAGUUUUCCAGCAGGAGCUGAGUGUUCCAGCAGGGGUCAGUGGUGCUGCAGCUGAGCAGGAGCUGAGUGUUCCAGCAGGGGUCGGUGGUGCUGCAGCUGAGCAGGAGCUGAGUGUUCCAGCAGGGGUCGGUGGUGCUGCAGUGGAGCAGGAGCUGAGUGUUCCAGCAGGGGUCGGUGGUGCUGCAGUGGCGCAGGGGCUGAGUGUUCCAGCAGGGGUCGGUGGUGCUGCAGCGGAGCAGGAGCUGAGUGUUCCAGCAGGGGUCGGUGGUGCUGCAGCUGAGCAGGAGCUGAGUGUUCCAGCAGGGGUCGGUGGUGCUGCAUGUUCCAGCAGGGGUCGGUGGUGCUGCAGCUGAGCAGGAGCUGAGUGUUCCAGCAGGGGUUGGUGGUGCUGCAGUGGAGCAAGAGCUGAGUGUUCCAGCAGGGGUCGGUGGUGCUGCAGUGGAGCAGGAGCUGAGUGUUCCAGCAGGAGCUGAGUGUUCCAGCAGGGGUUGGUGGUGCUGAAGUGGAGCAGGAGCUGAGUGUUCCAGCAGUGG
ensembl:lncRNA